GAGCCAAGGGGUCGGGACGCUCUGUUCAACGGAGCGACCUAGGGGUACAUGGAGUACCUCCAUCACGGACCGGGUUCGGCGUAAG
rnacentral:ncRNA from 1 species